rfam:Vitis vinifera, whole genome shotgun sequence of line PN40024, unoriented chromosome 4, chr4
AGAACGCGCAUUAAUUAUCCCUGGGGCCAUGGGAUAAACAAAAACCCUGAAAAAAUAAGUUAGCACAUCCUAGAAUGGUUUUAGCACAAUUACUAACCUAUGGCUCUGAUACUAGUUGAUGGGAAAAACUC